rnacentral:lncRNA from 1 species
AGACUUGAAAAAGGACAUACAGCUGAAAUGCUGGCUUAACAGAUGAUGCACACUUAGUUUGCCAGCCACUGAACAUCUGUAAGGAGAACAAGACAAUUGCGAGUAAACACUAAUAAAUUUUGAGAUAUCAAUCAUCUCUGUCAAGCAACUCAAGGAAGGCUUUCUUUGGAUGAGUGGUAGUACGCCAUUAUUUUCCUCACUUUCCAUGGAGUUACUUUCUGGUACAAAAAAGCUGAGACAGAAAUAGAGGAAUACAACUGGAUGCUCAUGCCAUACCUGAGGGCUUGACCUGCCUCAUUGUUGCAGUGCCGAAGGCUUGGUUGAUCAGCAUCCGUGAUGAGGGCUAUGAGAGCGCACAGAUAGCUGGAUCAAAGGGUCUUCCUGGAAAUAGGCGCACUUAG